rnacentral:rRNA from 1 species
CCUACGGGGGGCAGCAGUGAGGAAUAUUGGUCAAUGGGCGCAGGCCUGAACCAGCCAAGUCGCGUGAGGGAUGACGGUCCUAUGGAUUGUAAACCUCUUUUGUCAGGGAGCAAAGGGAGCCACGUGUGGCGUUUUGCGAGUACCUGAAGAAAAAGCAUCGGCUAACUCCGUGCCAGCAGCCGCGGUAAUACGGAGGAUGCGAGCGUUAUCCGGAUUUAUUGGGUUUAAAGGGUGCGCAGGCGGAAUGUAAAGUCAGCGGUAAAAUUUCGGGGCUCAACCCCGUCGUGCCGUUGAAACUGGCGUUCUUGAGGAAGCGAGAAGUAUGCGGAAUGCGUGGUGUAGCGGUGAAAUGCAUAGAUAUCACGCAGAACUCCGAUUGCGAAGGCAGCAUACCGGCGCUCAACUGACGCUCAUGCACGAAAGCGUGGGUAUCGAACAGGAUUAGAUACCCGAGUAGUC